UACGUAGGGAGCAAGCGUUGUCCGGAUUCAUUGGGCGUAAAGAGCUCGUAGGCGGCUUAGUAAGUCAGAUGUGAAAACUCCAGGCUCAACCUGGAGACGCCAUUUGAUACUGCUAUGGCUUGAGUUCGGUAGGGGACCAUGGAAUUCCUGGUGUAGCGGUGAAAUGCGCAGAUAUCAGGAGGAACACCGAUGGCGAAGGCAGUGGUCUGGGCCGAAACUGACGCUGAGGAGCGAAAGCGUGGGUAGCGAACAGG
rnacentral:rRNA from 1 species